CGGGGGGAGCAAGCGUUGUUCGGAUUUACUGGGCGUAAAGGGCGCGUAGGCGGCCAGCACAAGUCAGUUGUGAAAUCUCCGGGCUUAACUCGGAACGGUCAACUGAUACUGUGCGGCUAGAGUGCAGAAGGGGCAACUGGAAUUCUCGGUGUAGCGGUGAAAUGCGUAGAUAUCGAGAGGAACACCUGCGGCGAAGGCGGGUUGCUGGGCUGACACUGACGCUGAUGCGCGAAAGCCAGGGGAGCGAACGGGAUUAGAUACCCCGGUAGUCCUGACCUUAAACGAUGGAUGCUUGGUGUCUGGAGUUUUAUAGUCUCCGGGUGCCGUAGCUAACGCGUUAAGCAUCCCGCCUGGGGAGUACGGUCGCAAGACUG
rnacentral:rRNA from 1 species